UAGACAGAUAUUGUAUUCGACUGUAUUCACGACAUGUAAUUGUGAAUACAAUAACGUAAGUAGCGCAAAUCGUGGCCUAUUCAGUUGAUUUUAAAUGGAAAGUGAAUCAAUUAACACAAUAGACUCCU
rfam:Nicotiana sylvestris Nsyl_contig127414, whole genome shotgun sequence.